UCUUAAUAUUUAUUUUAUAUUUUUUUACACAUUCUAAAAGAUCAUUUAAUACGGUCAAAUUUUGCGUACAAAAGUUGAACAAUGAUUUUGAACUCAAUCUUGAGCCCAUGACUAGAUCCAUUAUCAAACAAUUUUCUAUUUAAGAAAUAAUUAGCUCAAAAUAGGGGGUGAUGAAAUUAAUUUUAGAAUUUGGGGGUUUUAAUUAUCAGAUUUUUAACUCUUCUAUAGUUCAUUAUCUUUCUGGCUCCGACCAGUCACCGCCAAAAUGAUACCUCACUGGGUCAACGUACCCCUCUUUUUUUCUUUCGUUUCUUCACUACCUAUUCUCUUCUCCAAGAACACAACCACACCACCAAAACGCCCUUUGCGAUUUUCUCUCUUUUCCGGCGAAAUCACACAGAUCUUCCUCCCUUUCUCCAUUUCCGGUGUAUCAGCUCCGACAUCCAAUGCUGGAGAACACCAGCUCCGACAACUUCAAUAAAUGUCCGAAUCUGGCCCAAAAAGACUUACCACUGGUGACCAUUUUUCAUUCACUUCCUCAGGUAAUCAGCUUUUAUUUGCUUUUGUUUUAUUCAAAUUAAAAAUUAUUCGGCUAUUUUUAGUAUUGUUCCUUAGUUUACAUCUUUGGUAAUGGCUAAUAUGAGCAUUUUUUCAUUUUGUAUUGUGUUUGAUUUAUCAUUAUUUCGAUGUAGUAGGUUUUAUUGCUGCCAUUAAUUUAACAUUAAUUUCGUUUUAGUUUUUAUUAUUUUACUUUAGUUUUUGGCUUGACUAAUAUAAUAUUUUAUUUUACUAUUUUUA